CUUCUUUGCCCGCUUUGAGGACAGUACAGUGCCAUCGACACGGCCCGCUACUAAAACCUGCAGGCUCUCCUUAACCGCAGCCAAAGUGAUAAAACGUUUAAACGUGUUAACCCUCGCAAGGCUGCCGGACCAGACGGCAUUCCUAGCUGUGUCCUCAGAGCAUGCGCAGACCAGGUGGCUGGUGUGUUUACGGACAUAUUCAAUCAAUCCCUAUCCCAGUCUGCUGUUCCCACAUGCUUCAAGAGGGCCACCAUUGUUCCUGUUCCCAAGAAAGCUAAGGUAACUGAGCUAAAUGACUAUCGUCCCGUGGCACUCACUUCCGUCAUCAUGAAGUGCUUUGAGAGACUAGUCAAGGAUCAUAUCACCUCCACCCUACCUGACACCUUAGACCCACUCCAAUUUGCUUACCGCUCCAAUAGGUCCACAGACGACGCAAUCGCAAUCACACUGCACACUGCCCUAGCCCAUCUGGACAAGAGGAAUACCUACAGUUGAAGUCGAAAGUUUACAUACACUUAGGUUGGAAUCAUUAAAACUCGUUUUUCAACCACUCCACAAAUUUCUUGUUAACAAAGUACAGUUUUGGCAAGUCGGUUAGAACAUCUACUUUGUGCAUGACACAAGUAAUUUUUCCAACAAUUGUUGACAGACAGAUUAUUUCACUUAUAAUUCACUGUAUCACAAUUCCAGUGGGUCAGAAGUUUACAUACACUAAGUUGACUGUGCCUUUAAGAAAAUUCCAGAAAAUUAUGUCAUGGCUUUAGAAGCUUCUGAUAGACUAAUUUACAUUUACAUUUUUUACAUUUUAGUCAUUUAGCAGACGCUCUUAUCCAGAGCGACUUACAGUAGUGAAUGCAUACAUUUCAUACAUUUAAAAAAAAAAAAUCCCGUACUGGUCCCCCGUGGGAGGUGUACCUGUGGAUGUAUUUCAAGGCCUAACUUCAAAGUCAGUGCCUGUUUGCUUGACAUCAUGGGAAAAUCAAAAGAAAUCAGCCAAGACCUCAGAAAAAAAUUGUAGACCUCCACAAGUCUGGUUCAUCCUUGGGAGCAAUUUCCAAAUGCCUGAAGGUACCACGUUCAUCUGUACAAACAAUAGUACUCAAGUAUAAACACCAUAGGACCACGCAGCCGUCAUACCGCUAAGGAAGGAGACGCCUUCUGUCUCCUAGAGAUGAACGUACUUUGGUGCGAAAGGUGCAAAUCAAUCCCAGAACAUGCUGGAGGAAUGCUGGAGGAAACAGGUACAAAAGUAUCUAUAUCUACAGUAAAACGAGUCCUAUAUCGACAAAACCUGAAACGCUGCUCAGCAAGGAAGAAGCCAUUGUUGCAAACCGCUAUAAAAAAGCCAGACUACGGUUUGCAACUGUACAUGGGGACAAAGAUUGUACUUUUUGGUGAAAUGUCCUCUGGUCUGAUGAAACAAAAAUAGAACUGUUUAGCCUUAAUGACCAUUGUUAUGUUUGGAGGAAAAAGGGGGACGCUUGCAAGCUGAAGAACACCAUCCCAACCGUGAAGCACGGGGGUGGCAGCAUCAUGUUGUGGGGUUGCUUUGCUGCAGGAGGAACUGGUGUACUUCACAAAAUAGAUGGCAUCAUGAGGUAGGAAAAUGAUGUGGAUAUAUUGAAGCAACAUCUCAAGACAUCAGUUAGGAAGUUAAAGCUUGGUCACAAAAGGGUCUUCCAAAUGGACAAUGACCCCAAGCAUACUUCCAAAGUUGUGGCAAAAUGGCUUAAGGACAACAAAGUCAAGGUAUUGGAGUGUCCAUCACAAAGCCCUGACCUCAAU
rnacentral:lncRNA from 1 species